GUUGACGACCGGCGCACGGGCGCGCAACGCGUAUACGAUCUACCCCCUACUGUGGGAUAGCCCAGAGAAAUUUGGAUUAAGACCACAUGGUACCAUUUUACGGCAUCGUAUUAAUGGUUAAAGGUUACGGUAGGGGAUGAGUAUGCGUCCCAUUAGUUAGUUGGCGAGGUAACGGCUCACCAAGACCGCGAUGGGUAGGGGCCCUGAGAGGGGGAUCCCCCACACUGGUACUGAGACACGGACCAGACUCCUACGGGAGGCAGCAGUGAGGAAUAUUGGACAAUGGGCGGGAGCCUGAUCCAGCCAUGCCGCGUGCAGGAAGAAUGCCCUAUGGGUAGUAAACUGCUUUUAUACGGGAAGAAAAAGAGCUACGUGUAGCUUACUGACGGUACCGUAAGAAUAAGGACCGGCUAACUCCGUGCCAGCAGCCGCGGUAAUACGGAGGGUCCGAGCGUUAUCCGGAAUUAUUGGGUUUAAAGGGUCCGUAGGCGGGCCGAUAAGUCAGUGGUGAAAGUUUGCAGCUCAACUGUAAAAUUGCCUUUGAUACUGUCGGUCUUGAGUUAUAGUGAAGUUGCCGGAAUAUGUAGUGUAGCGGUGAAAUGCAUASAUAUUACAUAGAACACCGAUUGCGAAGGCAGGUGACUAACUAUAUACUGACGCUGAUGGACGAAAGCGUGGGGAGCGAACAGGAUUAGAUACCCUGGUAGUCCACGCCGUAAACGAUGGAUACUAGCUGUCCGGGUCCUUGAGACCUGGGCGGCCAAGCGAAAGUGAUAAGUAUCCCACCUGGGGAGUACGUUCGCAAGAAUGAAAC
rnacentral:rRNA from 1 species